CGAGGGGGGCGAGCGUUGUUCGGAAUUAUUGGGCGUAAAGGGUGCGUAGGCGGUUUGGUAAGUCUUGUGUGAAAUCUACAGGCUCAACUUGUAGUCUGCACGAGAAACUGCCGGGCUUGAGUGUGGGAGAGGUGAGUGGAAUUCCUGGUGUAGCGGUGAAAUGCGUAGAUAUCAGGAGGAACACCUGUGGCGAAAGCGGCUCACUGGACCAUAACUGACGCUGAUGCACGAAAGCUAGGGGAGC
rnacentral:rRNA from 1 species